AAUAGUUUUAUCACACUGUUAAACAUCGGUUUAUAAUAGAUAGAUACAAUGUACUUCAAAAUCUCAAUUAUUUUGCUUCUAACUUGUUUGAUGUUUGUCGAAUCCACUGUAACACUAAAUAAUUCAGAAUUGUUACACCGUUCUUGGGCAAAUAUCAGGACUAGAUCCGCAAUGGCAACGCAUUUCAACAUAAGCGUACAGCAACUUGAAAAUUUAGCGGCAACAAAUAAUAUUCCAAACCUAGACCAUGUAUCGUUGGAGCAGUUUAGGACGCUUGCAAUACUGGUUGUUCGUAAUGGAUGGAAUACUGUAGAGAAUAUCUUACAAAUGCCAACCCACACAUGAUCGUGCCCAUUCAAUAAGCUGACUGCUCCAAAAAUAUUAACGGUUUGUUAUAAUUUGAACCUGGACCAAAUUGUAAUAUACAACUCAAAAAUA